AUGAACGCUGGCGGCGUGCUUAACACAUGCAAGUCGAACGGUGAAGGAGAGCUUGCUCUUUGGAUCAGUGGCGAACGGGUGAGUAACACGUGAGUAACCUGCCCUUGACUCUGGGAUAAGCACUGGAAACGGUGUCUAAUACCGGAUACGAGCUUCAACCGCAUGGUUAGGAGUUGGAAAGAAUUUCGGUCAAGGAUGGACUCGCGGCCUAUCAGCUAGUUGGUGAGGUAACGGCCCACCAAGGCGACGACGGGUAGCCG
rnacentral:rRNA from 1 species